rnacentral:rRNA from 1 species
CCGGCGACCGGCGGACGGGUGCGUAACGCGUAUGUAACCUACCUUUGACAGGGGGAUAACAUCGAGAAAUUGGUACUAAUACCCCAUAACAUCACCGGAGGCAUCUUCGGUGGUUGAAAACUCAGGUGAUCAGAGAUGGACAUGCGUUGUAUUAGCUAGUUGGUGAGGUAACGGCUCACCAAGGCGACGAUACAUAGGGGGACUGAGAGGUCAACCCCCCACAUUGGUACUGAGACACGGACCAAACUCCUACGGGAGGCAGCAG